GGCGAACGGGUGAGUAACACGUGAGUAACCUGCCCUUGACUUUGGGAUAACUUCAGGAAACUGGGGCUAAUACCGGACAGGAGCUCCUGCUGCAUGGUGGGGGUUGGAAAGUUUCGGCGGUUGGGGAUGGACUCGCGGCUUAUCAGCUUGUUGGUGGGGUAGUGGCUUACCAAGGCUUUGACGGGUAGCCGGCCUGAGAGGGUGACCGGCCACAUUGGGACUGAGAUACGGCCCAG
rnacentral:rRNA from 1 species